GGGGAUGUAGCUCAAUGGUAGAGUGCAUGCUUUGUAUGUAUGAGGUCCUCGGUUCAAUCCCCAGUAUCUCCA